GACGAACGCUGGCGGCGUGCUUAACACAUGCAAGUCGAACGGAAAGGCCCUGCUUUUGUGGGGUGCUCGAGUGGCGAACGGGUGAGUAACACGUGAGUAACCUGCCCUUGACUUUGGGAUAACUUCAGGAAACUGGGGCUAAUACCGGAUAGGAGCUCCUGCUGCAUGGUGGGGGUUGGAAAGUUUCGGCGGUUGGGGAUGGACUCGCGGCUUAUCAGCUUGUUGGUGGGGUAGUGGCUUACCAAGGCUUUGACGGGUAGCCGGCCUGAGAGGGUGACCGGCCACAUUGGGACUGAGAUACGGCCCAGACUCCUACGGGAGGCAGAAGUGGGGAAUAUUGCACAAUGGGCGGAAGCCUGAUGCAGCAACGCCGCGUGCGGGAUGACGGCCUUCGGGUUGUAAACCGCUUUCGCCUGUGACGAAGAGUGAGUGACGGUAAUGGGUAAAGAAGCACCGGCUAACUACGUG
rnacentral:rRNA from 1 species